rnacentral:rRNA from 1 species
GACAGAGGGUGCAAACGUUGUUCGGAAUUACUGGGCGUAAAGCGUGCGUAGGUGGUUCGUUAAGUCUGAUGUGAAAGCCCUGGGCUCAACCUGGGAAUGGCAUUGGAUACUGGCGGACUGGAGUGCGGUAGAGGAUGGCGGAAUUCCCGGUGUAGCAGUGAAAUGCGUAGAGAUCGGGAGGAACAUCCGUGGCGAAGGCGGCCAUCUGGACCAGCACUGACACUGAGGCACGAAAGCGUGGGGAGCAAACAGG